rnacentral:rRNA from 1 species
UACGGAGGGAGCAAGCGUUGCUCGGAAUUAUUGGGCGUAAAGAGCGCGCAGGCGGUCGUUCAAGUCGAGUGUGAAAGCCCCCGGCUCAACUGGGGAGGGUCACUCGAUACUGAUCGACUUGAAGGCAGGAGAGGGAAGCGGAAUUCCCGGUGUAGUGGUGAAAUGCGUAGAUAUCGGGAGGAACACCAGUGGCGAAGGCGGCUUCCUGGCCUGUUCUUGACGCUGAGGCGCGAAAGCUAGGGGAGCAAACGGG